CCCUCUCCUCUCCUUUCCAUUGGGUACGUUUCGUUCUUCCUAUAAUUCCCAUUAUUUUAUUGGGAUACGUACGUAAAUAGCAAGUAAGGUCAUUUUAGGAAUGAAAUUUUCAGUUCCCCCGCGUCACCAGCCCUUAACGACUCGAGUUCCUUCUAUCACCAAACUGCCUUCUACACUCACUCGCGGUCACCGGAACCAGAGCCAAACGGCACCUCAUAGUCUAUACCCAACGGCCGUCACGUAUAUUAUGGU
rnacentral:lncRNA from 1 species